CUACGGGAGGCUCCAGUGGGGAAUAUUGCACAAUGGGGGAAACCCUGAUGCAGCAACGCCGCGUGGAGGAUGACACAUUUCGGUGCGUAAACUCCUUUUAUAUAAGAAGAUAAUGACGGUAUUAUAUGAAUAAGCACCGGCUAACUCCGUGCCAGCAGCCGCGGUAAUACGGAGGGUGCAAGCGUUAUUCGGAAUCACUGGGCGUAAAGGGUGCGUAGGCGGUUUGGAAAGUCAGGUGUGAAAGCCCGGGGCUCAACUCCGGAACUGCACUUGAAACUUCCAGACUAGAAUACUGAAGGGGCAGAUGGAAUUAGUGGUGUAGGGGUAAAAUCCGUGGAUAUCACUAGGAAUACCGAAAGCGAAAGCGAUCUGCUGGGAAGUUAUUGACGCUGAGGCACGAAAGCGUGGGGAGCAAACAGGAUUAGAUACCCGGGUAGUC
rnacentral:rRNA from 1 species